rnacentral:rRNA from 1 species
AACGCGAAGAACCUUACCUGGCCUUGACAUGCAUUGUGUCGUCGGUGAAAGCCGGCUAGCGUAGCAAUACGCGCUUUGCACAGGUGCUGCAUGGCUGUCGUCAGCUCGUGUCGUGAGAUGUUGGGUUAAGUCCCGCAACGAGCGCAACCCUCGUCCUAUGUUGCCAGCGGGUAAUGCCGGGGACUCAUAGGAGACUGCCGGGGUCAACUCGGAGGAAGGUGGGGAUGACGUCAAGUCAUCAUGCCCCUUAAGUCUUGGGCUGCAAACAUGCUACAAUGGCCGGUACAGAGGGCUGCGAGACCGCAAGGUGGAGCGAAUCUCAAAAAGCCGGUCUCAGUUCGGAUUGGGGUCUGCAACUCGACCCCAUGAAGUCGGAGUCGCUAGUAAUCGCGAAUCAGCAACGUCGCGGUGAAUACGUUCCCGGGCCUUGUACACACCGCAUC